GACGAACGCUGGCGGCGUGCCUAAUACAUGCAAGUCGAGCGAAGUUUUUCUGGUGCUUGCACUAGAAAAACUUAGCGGCGAACGGGUGAGUAACACGUAAAGAACCUGCCUCAUAGACUGGGGCAACUAUUGGAAACGAUAGCUAAUACCGGAUAACAGUAUUUCUCGCAUGGGAGAUAUUUAAAAGUUGGUUAUGCUAACACUAUGAGAUGGCUUUGCGGUGCAUUAGCUAGUUGGUGGGGUAAAGGCCCACCAAGGCGACGAUGCAUAGCCGACCUGAGAGGGUGAUCGGCCACACUGGGACUGAGACACGGCCCAGACUCCUACGGGAGGCAGCAGUAGGGAAUCUUCCGCAAUGGGCGAAAGCCUGACGGAGCAACGCCGCGUGAGUGAAGAAGGAUUUCGGUUCGUAAAGCUCUGUUGUUAGGGAAGAAUGGAUAUGUAGUAACUAUACAUGUAAGAGACGGUACCUAACCAGAAAGCCACGGCUAACUACGUG
rnacentral:rRNA from 1 species